GCACAGCAGCUGCGCAGCCAGCUGCUCUGGGGCCCAGGUGAGGCCUCUCAGACCUGCUUCUUCCCAGCGAGGCCCCCUCCCGCCCCUGAGUGACAGGCUGCUGUGCACUGUGCUGCUGUACUUAGCGGCAGCUUUGGUUUAUUCUCAGGAGCAGAUGACAUCGCUCAGAGGCAGACAAACAUCCUGCAGGUCACCAAGAAUCCCAGGAAAGAUGAGUUGCACCUGAUGGAGACCUCCACAGACAGAGAUAACCCUUUCCUGGAAAUGCAGCCAGCACUCAGUGAGAAUUCCAGAGCUCUGACACCGGGACUGAGAUAGAAGCAGCUGGAUCCCAGCUAACCAGGUGACCCUCUCAA
rnacentral:lncRNA from 1 species